UAUUCCCAGAGUCCAAAGGAGUUUCUUCUCAGAGGCCAUUAGGACUGUAAACUCCUAUCUCUCCAGGGACUAACGUUACUGUACCAUUAUACUGUUGUGUGGUUUCUUUUUAAAAUAGCUGCUUUUUCCCUUUUCUUCCUCCAACAAAUAUGUAAUAUGUGAAUAUGUGAU